UAGGGAAUCUUCCGCAAUGGGCGAAAGCCUGACGGAGCAACGCCGCGUGAGUGAUGAAGGUCUUCGGAUCGUAAAACUCUGUUAUUAGGGAAGAACAAAUGUGUAAGUAACUAUGCACGUCUUGACGGUACCUAAUCAGAAAGCCACGGCUAACUACGUGCCAGCAGCAGCGGUAAUACGUAGGUGGCAAGCGUUAUCCGGAAUUAUUGGGCGUAAAGCGCGCGUAGGCGGUUUUUUAAGUCUGAUGUGAAAGCCCACGGCUCAACCGUGGAGGGUCAGUGGAAACUGGAAAACGUGAGUGCAGAAGAGGAAAGUGGAAUUCCAUGUGUAGCGGUGAAAUGCGCAGAGAUAUGGAGGAACACCAGUGGCGAAGGCGACUUUCUGGUCUGUAACUGACGCUGAUGUGCGAAAGCGUGGGGAUCAAACAGG
rnacentral:rRNA from 1 species